GACGAACGCUGGCGGCGUGCUUAACACAUGCAAGUCGAACGGAAAGGCCCUGCUUUUGUGUGGUUCUCGAGUGGCGAACGUGUGAGUAACCCGUGAGUAACCUUCCCUUUACUUUGGGAUAACUUCAGGAAACUGCUGCUAAUACCUGCUAGGAGCUCCUGCUGCAUGGUGGGGUUUGGACAGUUUCGGCGGUUGUGGAUGGACUGGCGGCUUAUCAGCUUGUUGGUUGGGUAGUGGCCUACCAAGGCUUCGACGGGUAGCCUGCCUGAGAGGGUGACCGGGGACAUUGGGACUGAGAGACGGAGCAGACUGGUACGGGAGGCAGCAGGGGAGAAUAUGGCACAAUGGGCGGAAGCGUGAGGCAGAAACGCCGCGAGCGGGAUGAAGGCCUUCGGGUUGUAAACCGCUUUAGCCUGUGACGAAGCGGGAGUGACGGUAAUGGGUAAAGAAGCACCGGCUAACUACGUG
rnacentral:rRNA from 1 species